rnacentral:rRNA from 1 species
AGUGAACGCUGGCGGUAGACCUAACACAUGCAAGUCGAACGGCAGCACAGUAAGAGCUUGCUCUUACGGGUGGCGAGUGGCGGACGGGUGAGGAAUACAUCGGAAUCUACUUUUUCGUGGGGGAUAACGUAGGGAAACUUACGCUAAUACCGCAUACGACCUACGGGUGAAAGCAGGGGAUCUUCGGACCUUGCGCGAUUGAAUGAGCCGAUGUCGGAUUAGCUAGUUGGCGGGGUAAAGGCCCACCAAGGCGACGAUCCGUAGCUGGUCUGAGAGGAUGAUCAGCCACACUGGAACUGAGACACGGUCCAGACUCCUACGGGAGGCAGCAGUGGGGAAUAUUGGACAAAGGGCGCAAGCCUGAUCCAGCCAUACCGCGUGGGUGAAGAAGGCCUUCGGGUUGUAAAGCCCUUUUGUUGGGAAAGAAAAGCAGCAGGUUAAUACCCCGCUGUUCUGACGGUACCCAAAGAAUAAGCACCGGCUAACUUCGUG